GCGAAAUGUCUUUAAAGCUUAGCAAGAUGAGUUUCCAGUCUAAAUCCGACGACCAUAAAAUACAUAAUAAAUUUUGACAUAGGCAAACGAGUGGAUGACAGCAUGAUCAAGAUUUCUGAAAAGUGGAUUCAGGGCUUGAUCCAUUUGAUGUCAUCAUGUCAUCCCUCAAGAUUGAAUGCGUAAUCAUUUAUGGAACACACUUAAAGCCUUUUGCUGGACAAGAUGACGCC